CGGUUACCCAGGCCCUUAGGCCGUUGGCCCCGGGGCUCCGGGGCGGUCAAGUAGGUUUUCCAGCCCCGAACCCAGACGCCUCUCCCUCUCCGGCUGGCCCUCCACGUCUCUGCGGGCUUCUCUCAGGGUUCCUGUGAGAGCUGCUCUGGGCUCGCUGGGCUGUGCGGCCGGCCGGCCAGCCAGCCUCACCGUGGACUGCCUGCUGGUCCCCAAUCGGAUCCCAGGCAAGGGUGGACUCUGGAAGGAGGCCAGAUCGAUGCCCAGGACCCUUGCUGUGGAGCACACCUUCGUACCUGGAUGCUUUGGCCCAGGGAUGGAAAAGGUCUCCUUCCUAUCAGUUUCCUCCGUGCCAGGACUUGGCUGGCCAAGUAAAUCCCCCUGGCCUUUUAUGCCCAGGGGCUUUGGGGGACCUCCCUUAGGCUGCCUGGGCCUCCCUCCCCCCCCCUUGUGAAAGGAGGGACUUAGACUAGCUGGCCUCUAAGGUCCCAUAGCUCUCAACCUGACCCCUGUGGUCCCCCUUCCUCCUACCUUCGUGGGGAGCCUAGACAUCUCCAAGGACUUCACAAACUUGCCUUAGAACCUUCCAUGCCCCCUCAUUUCCUGUUGUCCAGCUAUUUCUUUAGGAGCCCAUUUGGGGUUUCCUUGGCACAGACACUGGGGGGGGGGGUUGCCAUUUCCUUCU